UACGAGAGGCCCAAGCGUUAUUCGGAAUUACUGGGCUUAAAGAGUUCGUAGGCGGCGCAGAAAGUAGGGUGUGAAAGCCCUCGGCUCAACCGAGGAAUUGCGCUCUAAACUACUGUGCUUGAGGGACCUAGAGGUGAGCGGAACUGAUGGUGGAGCGGUGAAAUGCGUUGAUAUCAUCAGGAACACCGGAGGCGAAGGCGGCUCACUGGGGGUCUACUGACGCUGAGGAACGAAAGCCAGGGGAGCAAACGGG
rnacentral:rRNA from 1 species